rnacentral:rRNA from 1 species
AAGACCUUGCGCUUUUGGAGCGGCCGAUGUCUGAUUAGCUAGUUGGUGGGGUAAUGGCCUACCAAAGCUUCGAUCAGUAGCUGGUCUGAGAGGACGGCCAGCCACACUGGGACUGAGACACGGCCCAGACUCCUACGGGAGGCAGCAGUGGGGAAUUUUGGACAAUGGGCGCAAGCCUGAUCCAGCCAUGCCGCGUGAGUGAAGGAGGCCUUCGGGUUGUAAAGCUCUUUCAGCCGGGAAGAAAAGGCUGCGACUAAUAAUCGCAGUUCAUGACGGUACCGGAAGAAGAAGCACCGGCUAACUACGUGCCAGCAGCCGCGGUAAUACGUAGGGUGCGAGCGUUAAUCGGAAUUACUGGGCGUAAAGGGUGCGCAGGCGGUUUUGUAAGUCAGAUGUGAAAUCCCCGGGCUUAACCUGGGAACU